UACGUAGGGUCCGAGCGUUUGUCCGGAAUUACUGGGCGUAAAGAGCUCGUAGGUGGUUUGUCGCGUUGUUCGUGAAAACUCACAGCUUAACUGUGGGCGUGCGGGCGAUACGGGGCAGACUAGAGUACUGCAGGGGGAGACUGGAACUCCUGGUGUAGCGGUGGAAUGCGCAGAUAUCAGGAGGAACACCGGUGGCGAAGGCGGGGUCUCUGGGGCAGUAACUGACGCUGAGGAGCGAAGGCAUGGGGAGCGAACAGG
rnacentral:rRNA from 1 species